rnacentral:rRNA from 1 species
AUACGGAGGAUGCGAGCGUUAUCCGGAUUUAUUGGGUUUAAAGGGUGCGCGGGCGGCCAUUUAAGUCAGCGGUUAAAUCGUGGGGCUCAACCCCAUUCUGCCGUUGAUACUGGGUGGCUUGAUUGCGGUCGAGGUUGGCGGAAUUCGUUGUGUAGCGGGGAAAUGCAUAGAUAUGACGAAGAACACCGAUUGCGUAGGCAGCUGACCAGACCGCAAAUGACGCUCAUGCACGAAAGUGCGGGGAUCGAACAGGAUUAGAUACCCUGGUAGUCCGCACAGUAAACGAUGAAUACUUGUUUUCGGCGAUAUAAUGUCGGAGGCAAAGCGAAAGCGAUAAGUAUUCCACCUGGGGAGUACGCCGGCAACGGUGAAACUCAAAUGAAUUGACGGG